rnacentral:rRNA from 1 species
UACGGAGGGGGCUAGCGUUGUUCGGAAUUACUGGGCGUAAAGCGCACGUAGGCGGCUUUGUAAGUCAGGGGUGAAAGCCUGGAGCUCAACUCCAGAACUGCCUUUGAGACUGCAUCGCUUGAAUCCGGGAGAGGUGAGUGGAAUUCCGAGUGUAGAGGUGAAAUUCGUAGAUAUUCGGAAGAACACCAGUGGCGAAGGCGACUCACUGGACCGGUAUUGACGCUGAGGUGCGAAAGCGUGGGGAGCAAACAGG